rnacentral:rRNA from 1 species
AAUGUGGCAUCCUUUGGAUGUGUUAUAACCUUUGUUCGCAUACAUUAGUUGGGAUUGAGGAACUCAGCACGCCGAAAGGCCGGGUUAUUAACCACGUACGUGCUUAGGAUGCUGGCAUAAUGGCUUUAAUCGA